rnacentral:misc_RNA from 1 species
GAUGAAGAACGUAACGAAAUGCGAUAAGUAAUGUGAAUUGCAGAAUUCAGUGAAUCAUCGAAUCUUUGAACGCACAUUGCGCCCGCCAGUAUUCUGGCGGGCAUGCCUGUUCGAGCGUCAUUUCAACCAUCAAGCCCCCGGCUUGUGUUGGGGACCUGCGGCUGCCGCAGGCCCUGAAAACCAGUGGCGGGCUCGCUGUCACACCGAGCGUAGUAGAUUUUCAUCUCGCUCAGGGCGUGCUGCGGGUUCCGGCCGUAAAAAGCCUUAUUUACCCAAGGUUGACCUCGGAUCAGGUAGGAAGACCCGCUGAACUUAAGCAUAUCAAUAAGCGGAGGA